UACAGAGGGUGCGAGCGUUGUCCGGAAUCACUGGGCGUAAAGGGCGCGUAGGUGGUUUGGGAAGCGUGUGGUGAAAGCCCGGGGCUCAACCCCGGGUCGGCCAUGCGAACUGCCCGACUGGAGCACGGUAGAGGCCAAUGGAAUUCCGGGUGUAGCGGUGGAAUGCGUAGAGAUCCGGAAGAACACCGGUGGCGAAGGCGGUUGGCUGGGCCGUGGCUGACACUGAUGCGCGACAGCGUGGGGAGCAAACAGG
rnacentral:rRNA from 1 species